rnacentral:rRNA from 1 species
AUUGAACGCUGGCGGCAGGCCUAACACAUGCAAGUCGAGCGGAUGGAGGGAGCUUGCUCCUGGAUUCAGCGGCGGACGGGUGAGUAAUGCCUAGGAAUCUGCCUGGUAGUGGGGGAUAACGUCCGGAAACGGGCGCUAAUACCGCAUACGUCCUGAGGGAGAAAGUGGGGGAUCUUCGGACCUCACGCUAUCAGAUGAGCCUAGGUCGGAUUAGCUAGUUGGUGGGGUAAAGGCCUACCAAGGCGACGAUCCGUAACUGGUCUGAGAGGAUGAUCAGUCACACUGGAACUGAGACACGGUCCAGACUCCUACGGGAGGCAGCAGUGGGGAAUAUUGGACAAUGGGCGAAAGCCUGAUCCAGCCAUGCCGCGUGUGCGAAGAAGGUCUUCGGAUUGUAAAGCACUUUAAGUUGGGAGGAAGGGCAGUAAGUUAAUACCUUGCUGUUUUGACGUUACCAACAGAAUAAGCACCGGCUAACUUCGUG